CGUGUAGGCGGGUCGACAAGUUGGAUGUGAAAUGCACCGGCUCAACUGGUGCGCUGCAACCAAAACUGCCGAUCUUGAGUGUUGGAGAGGAUAGUGGAAUUCCUAGUGUAGCGGUAAAAUGCGUAGAUAUUAGGAGGAACACCAGUGGCGAAGGCGGCUAUCUGGACCGAUAUCGACGCUGAGACGCGAAAGCGUGGGUAGCAAACAG
rnacentral:rRNA from 1 species